UUAUAUCGCACCGUCAACCGUAUAUUGUCGCGACACCACCACCACUUUCCUCCUCACCGCUGGUCGUCCGACCAUCUCUCUCAGCCUCAUCUGCCUCUUCCCCUUCCUAGAUCGACAUCCCUUCCUCUCUCGAUUAGGAUCAACACAUGAUGUCCUUGCUUCCUCUCUCCGUCUCCGUGUUUGUCUACCCCUUCAAUUUUGUCGUUUCCCCUCCAGAUCCCCGUCAGUAGUGAUCUAGUCUCGAGAUCCAGUUCUUAAAUUUCUGAUAUGCUGACCAAAUUCGAGAUGAAGAGCAACCGGGUGAAGGGUGUGAGCUUCCACAGCAAACGUCCUUGGGUCCUUGCAAGCUUUCACAGUGGCGUUAUCUAGCUAUGAGAUUACCGCAUGGGCACUCUCAUCGACCGCUUCGACGAGCACCGGUACUAUGUAGUCUUGAAGACCAAAUUUAACGGGCCAGACGGUCAGUAAUAAUGGGCAUUAAAAGUGAUGCGCUGUGCUUUUGUCCUCCUCCGACCCGCGGCCAUCCCUCUUCCUCCUCCGUCGCCCUCAAACACUCACAGCACUUCUGCUCACACCGCUCGCUUUCUACGAUGCGGCGCAAGCUCUUUCUUUCAUCCGUCCUUCGCCACUUCCAAACCCUAGUCGCUCCUCCUACCAACGUCUAUGGCAGCCGCCCAUACUCCACAACCUUAUUUAUCAGUUGAUUCGGUUCCCACGACCGUGAUUUAUGGUCUAAGUUCUACUCCUCGGUAGCUUCCCAAUCUCGCUUCUUCCAAGAUGAGAAGCAGGGUUACUUCCCUUCGAGAUACUCCGAGGACGCGAAGAAAGGAAGAUUGGUCCCCGUUAAUGCCUAUUCUCUAUCUACCAUGUCUAUUUCUCGAUUCAUGUUGAUUUGAAAAGCUUGAGGGCGCAGAAUGCGUUCAAUCUCAUUUCUCUGGCUUCUCGUGUCAGUGACUGUGUCAUUCUUAGACAAUAACUUCAAGUUCGAGAGUGAUCCUCAGGAGAUGACUAUAAGAUUAAGGUCUGGAAUUAUAAGACACCGGUGCUUCUCCUUGGUCAUCUUGAUUACAGUCGCACUGUGCAGUUCCAUGAUGAACAUCCAUGGAUUGUUAGCGCAAGUGACGACCAAACUAUUAGGAUAUGGAAUUGGCAAUCUCAGACCUGCAUUUCUGUAUUGACAGGGCACAACCACUAUGUGAUGUGUGCCUCAUUUUAUCCAUCAUCGCUACUAAAGUCCUUCCUUAUCUUCGACAGUUUCAUCUUCUUGAUCUCUUGAUUGCAAGUAUUAAUUGAUUGAUGCAUGCAAUGUGUUUGAUGAAUCCUCAAACACUAUCCUGAGUUGAUUUUAUCAUUUUUGUUUGCUAGAUUAAGGAGUUGUUAUAAAUUUACCUCUUUUUGUUGUUGUUGUUUCUACAGGAUUUGUGUGUUGGGCUUCUUAGACGCGCUACAUAUACAACUUAAAGGCUUUGAUCAUUAAGUGAGUAUUUUCUUUUGACCUUCUUGUUAAAUCGAUUCAUGACCAAGUUAAUUAUGAUUUUGUGAAUUUCUGAAUCCAUCUGAAUAGUUCCUAAUACGGUUUAGGGUUUAGGUGAUGAUUCAUGAAUGACUCAUAGUUUAUUUAUUGGUAUAAUGAUGAAGUGCAAAUUUUGUUUGUCAUACUAAGUUAAUUGUUGCUGAAGGAGGAAAGUAGGAAACAACUCUCUGUCACAGGGUUAAGCUUAUUCAGAAAAAUAUCCCAGUUAUGCUUAGGACUCUUGGUCAGAUGGCUAUUGCUAAUCCAAUAUUUACUCAUGGUCAGCUACCUCUAUGGGUGAAAUAUGUUGACCCAUUACUACACUCAUCAAUUGUUAGAGAUGCAGCAUUUGAACAGUAGAUAAAUUCAUCUGUACACUUGAAUGGAUUAUCAUUAUGGAGGGUCACUCAAGGCACACUUGGAUUAGGAAAUUCAGUAGAGAUUUUUAUAUCAAUUUUGAUUCAUUGUAGGAUGAAUCCAAGUUAAUUUUAGGUUUGGGUUAAUCUUAAUUGUCCUUUAAUCUUAUUUGAGCCUUUUUCUCAUGAUUUGGUUUGAUUUUGAUAUUAUUAAAUUACCUUUUUGUCUUAUGAGUAUAAGUUUCACUAUGAGUUGAGCUAGAUUACUUUUGUUAUUUUGGUGAAGUUUCAUUGUGGUUGAGCUAUAUUGCUGUUACUAUAUUCACAUCCAAUGGCUUGAAUUGGGAUCUUGUUUGUAUAUCCACCCUGUUUGUGAUUAAAUUUCAAAUGGCAUGCAUUGUCUACAGGAAGAGAAUUGAACCAUAUUGGGAAAAUGCUUUUGAUUUAUUUUUCUCUUUUAGCUUUUUGAUAUUGUGAAAACAGGAUGUGAAUCACAUAUCCUUUUUAGACUUGAACAUCUUGAUAUCAGUGAUAUAUGAUCUUAUACACACAAAAAAACUACUUCUGUUUAUCUGAUUUAGUUUGUAUUGUCAAGGUACUCUGGUAUGCUUGAAAAGGAGGUAAAGAUUGCUUGUCUUGUCUGUUGCGACUGUUGUGAUUGCAAAGCAUGUUCUAGAAGUCCAGCUGAAGAUGGUUAUAAGGAUCUUGAAAUUGUUCAGGAGCGUAGGAAGACUGAGCAUGCCGAUAGUGAUGAGAUUUGUCUUGUCGAUGUGACAACUGUCUACCCUGUUAGUCAUGGACAAUUGGAUUGUCCGACUUGUUCUCCUCUUGGAGCUAAAGAAGAUUGGCAUAAGGAACUGGCAAAUGGUCAAAACAAGUUUAAUAAUAAGGAGCACACAUAUAGCUUGAUAUCUGAAUUGCUUCCCUUGCUGAAACAUAUCUAUCAAAACCAAUUAAAUGAGUUGGAAGUAAAGCAAGGGGAUCAAGGUAAGCUUCAAAACAAUUGCCUAGUUUCUUCCUCCAGUUAGAUAUCCUCUUGAUCGAUCUAUCAUCUAGAAGGUGGAUUUUCUAGUGUACUUCUUCGAGUAUAUGAGCCUCACAAUGAGCUUGUUAACUGGUAUGUCUUCACAUCUAUAACACCUCUGAGAAUUUCGUAAUUUGCUAUGUUUAUGAAAUCAUGGACAUAAUAACUAAAUAAUGUGUCCUGACCCUGUUUCUUAGAUGGUCAUUUGUAAACUUGUGCCUCUAUUUUGCUUUAGCAAGUUCUAAUUUUUAGGUCAUAUUCUGUUCUUUGUUAUCGUCUCAUCAUGCAUUAAAAUGUUCACUUGAUUGAUAUUGUUUUCUUUUCUUGUUUUCCCCUUGGAACUAGUAAUUAUUGCAGGACUUCACUAGUGGUUUUUCACAGAAGCUGCUCAAAUUGCUCUUACAAACUUUGCUUAGAUUGUUACGGAAAGAUAGUAAAGGGAACUACUUCUCAUACACCUGCAAUUGAUUCCUCCAAGGCUGGUAGGAGACAGAGGGCAAAGAAGUAUGUCAUCAGAAAAAUUGUUGGGAAAAGAUGGAGACGUUCCACAAGCGAGUGACCAGAUAACUCAUCUUUAUCCACCGUUGAGUCUGAUAGCAAGGCUAAGAAUCAUGGAAGCAACAUUCCUUGCCCACCCAAGGAAUCUGGAGUUUACAAAUCUUAAGUACUCCAGAGUUGAAAUUGAUGAAGUGCGGUUCGAGUGGGCUGAAUG